GACGAACGCUGGCGGCGUGCUUAACACAUGCAAGUCGAACGGAAAGGCCCUGAUUUUGUGGCGUGCUCGAGUGGCGAACGGGUGAGUAACACAUGAGUAACCCGCACUUGUCUUUGGGAUAACUUCAGGGAACUGGGGCUAAUACAGGGUAGGAGCUCCUGCUGCAUGGUGGGGGUUGGUAAGAUUCGGCGGUUGGGUCUGGACUAGCGGCUUAUCAGCUUGUUGGGGGGGUAGUUGAUGACAAAGUCUUCGACGGGUAGCCGGCCUGGGAGGGUGAACGGCCACAUUGGGACUGAGAUACGGCCCAGACGCCUACGGGAGGCAGUGGUGGGGAACAUUGCACAAUGGGCGGAAGCCUGAUGCAGCAACGCCGCGUGCGUGAUGACGGCCUUCGGGUUGUAAACCGCUUUCGCCUGUGACGAAGCGAGAGUGACGGUAAUGGGUAAAGAAGCACCGGCUAACUACGUG
rnacentral:rRNA from 1 species